rnacentral:rRNA from 1 species
UACGUAGGGUGCGAGCGUUGUCCGGAAUUAUUGGGCGUAAAGGGCUCGUAGGCGGUUUGUCACGUCGGGAGUGAAAACUCAGGGCUUAACCCUGAGCCUGCUUCCGAUACGGGCAGACUAGAGGUAUGCAGGGGAGAAUGGAAUUCCUGGUGUAGCGGUGAAAUGCGCAGAUAUCAGGAGGAACACCGGUGGCGAAGGCGGCCUACUGGGCCAGCACUGACGCUGAGGCGCGAAAGCUCGGGGAGCGAACGGG